CCUACGGGAGGCAGCAGUAGGGAAUAUUGCUCAAUGGGGGAAACCCUGAAGCAGCAACGCCGCGUGGAGGAUGAAGGUUUUCGGAUUGUAAACUCCUUUUGUUAGAGAAGAUAAUGACGGUAUCUAACGAAUAAGCACCGGCUAACUCCGUGCCAGCAGCCGCGGUAAUACAGAGGUCUCAAGCGUUGUUCGGAAUCACUGGGCGUAAAGCGUGCGUAGGCGGAAGAUCAAGUCAGCGGUAAAAUUGAGAGGCUCAACCUCUGCGAGCCGUUGAAACUGGUUUUCUUGAGUGAGUGAGAAGUAUGCGGAAUGCGUGGUGUAGCGGUGAAAUGCAUAGAUAUCACGCAGAACUCCGAUUGCGAAGGCAGCAUACCGGCGCUCAACUGACGCUCAUGCACGAAAGUGUGGGUAUCGAACAGGAUUAGAUACCCCGGUAGUC
rnacentral:rRNA from 1 species